rnacentral:rRNA from 1 species
UCGAACGGGCACCUUCGGGUGUCAGUGGCAGACGGGUGAGUAACGCGUGGGAACGUACCUUUCGGUUCGGAAUAACCCAGGGAAACUUGGGCUAAUACCGGAUACGCCGGUAACGGGAAAGAUUUAUCGCCGAAAGAUCGGCCCGCGUCGGAUUAGCUAGUUGGUGAGGUAACGGCCCACCAAGGCGACGAUCCGUAGCUGGUCUGAGAGGAUGAUCAGCCACACUGGGACUGAGACACGGCCCAG